GGUAUGGGCGCAAGCCUGAUGCAGCCAUGCCGCGUGUGUGAAGAAGGCCUUCGGGUUGUAAAGCACUUUCAGCGGGGAGGAAGGGAGUAAAGUUAAUACCUUUGCUCAUUGACGUUACCCGCAGAAGAAGCACCGGCUAACUCCGUGCCAGCAGCCGCGGUAA
rnacentral:rRNA from 1 species